rnacentral:misc_RNA from 1 species
CUGCGCAGUGCACAUCGACAGGAUGAGAAACAUAUACAGAACAUAAUUGGGCUUGAGAGGUUAAUGGUUGUCCGCUAGCGUCAUCAUGAAGGGAAUAUUGUGUUUAUUCGUCAUUCUUGUAAAUUCAUGUGAGCGAUACGUAAUAGCGGAGCACGAAGAAGACACAUCCACAGAUCUAUUUGUGAUCGAGGGAAAAGUGUUCCCUUGGGACAACGCUGCUUCCACUGGGUGGCAACUCAUGACACAUGUGAUGGCAAAUGGAGGUGAACACUAUGGUUUUCUAAGGGAAGAUGGUACGUUUAUAAUCUCAAACGUCCCAUCUGGUUCUUAUAUGGUUGAAGUGGUGAACCCAAAUUAUGUUUAUGAGCCAGUCAGAGUAGAAAUCAAUUCGAAAGGGAAAUUCCGAGCUCGAAAAGUCAAUUUGAUACAGACGUCGCAAGUGAUCCAAGUACCUUAUCCAUUGAAAAUGAGGCCUUUAGCACCAUUUCGAUAUUUUCAAGUUAGAGAACAGUGGCGAUUAACAGACUUCCUGUUCAAUCCCAUGGUUCUAAUGAUGGUUCUGCCACUUGUACUGAUAAUGAUUCUGCCAAAAAUUAUGAAUGAUCCUGAAACUAGGAAGGUAAGAAGACCUAAAGACCGGCCAAAAAUUGAGUGACCCUAAAGACUAGGAGAGUUUUUUCUAAUAUCUAAAAGUAAAUGAAAGAUAAUUAACUGAAAUGGAGCAAUUAAAUAAUCUCACUAUCUAUAAUAUGCCAGAAAUGUCUGAAGUAAUAACGUCUUUUCUUUCUGGAGGAG